ACGCAGAAUCAGGGCAUUGCGCCGGAAUCGGUUCGGGCCCGAGGGGAUCUCUGCGCAGUUUUCAGCCUCCAAAAAAAGUGACAUCGGGACUGGCGAUAAUAAGCUGUUAAUACUAUAUUUAGUGUUUGCAGCCACCAUCACCACAAGAUACAGGAAGGACAUCUCCGGAUGACACCCCUGUCACGAUACGGAAACGAGACUGGCUGCACGACUGAAUGUGCCGCCGGAUAGCAAUUUUGCGCC
rnacentral:sRNA from 1 species